rnacentral:lncRNA from 1 species
AAAAAUUUUUUAUUGAUAUGUGAAACCUCUGCAAGAGUUUAUGAAUUUUAGGUUAUGGGAUUUUUUGCCAGCUAUUCUCGCUUAUCUACGAAGCAAAAAAUAUAUGUUGGUUUAUUCGGAAUAGCUUUUUCUUUAGUUGGUCCUAUCGUAAUGCAAAGAUUUUUCGAUGAGCUAUCUGUUUUAAAAGAAAAAGAUCGUUUGUUUGAGAAAGAGAUUUUAAAAGACAGAAAAUCUAAAAUAGAGACUAUUGAAAAACAACACGAAAAAGAGUUAAAGAACCUGAAAGAUUGAAAGCACUCAGUUUAAUGUAUUAAAUGUAUUAAAUUGCUCUAAGAAAUUUUAUCCAAA